UACGUAGGGUGCAAGCGUUGUCCGGAACUAUUGGGCGUAAAGAGCUCGUAGGCGGUCUGUCGCGUCGGCUGUGAAAACUCGGGGCUCAACUCCGAGCUUGCAGUCGAUACGGGCAGGCUAGAGUUCGGCAGGGGAGACUGGAAUUCCUGGUGUAGCGGUGAAAUGCGCAGAUAUCAGGAGGAACACCGGUGGCGAAGGCGGGUCUCUGGGCCGAUACUGACGCUGAGGAGCGAAAGCGUGGGGAGCGAACAGG
rnacentral:rRNA from 1 species